rnacentral:rRNA from 1 species
CCUGAGAAACCCAAAAGAUCGAAUGGGGAGAUUCAUCGUCAGCUCAUUUUGUAUAUAUAUAAGUUAUGAUAUGGGUUACUACUUGUAGUAUUGCCUAUACAUUCUUGUAUAUUUUAUUGCAUUAUGUUGUCGGCGUGCACUUCUCCCCUAGUAGGACGUCGCGACCCGUUGAGUGUCGGUCUACGGCCCAAGUGGUAGCCUUUGAUUUUUUGAAUUAAAGACCCUUGGUGUUUCCUGGCUGGCUACUCGGCGGUAUUCGUACGGUAUUAAGCCGCAUUAAAUGCGUUCAUAUCCGUCGCAAGCGCGGUUAAUUUUUAGUAGUACGGACCUAGUGCCGUCGCUAUAAUUGAUCAGCUGUUGGUUGUACGGUAUUCUAGAACUGGCUUUCAUACCGGUCAGCGAUGCUU